UAAAGGCAGAAAAGAUUAUAUGUCAUACCUCCAUUGGGGAAUAAGCAUAACCCUGAGAUUCUUACUACUGAUGAGAACAUAUCUGCAUAUGCCAAAAAAUUUUAAGCAAAUGAAAGCUACCAAUUUAAAGUUAUGGAAUCUACCAUUUUAAAGUUAAUUGCUUGUCAAGCUAUAACCACAAAAAUAAUGAUGAGAAAUACAAUGAAGAGCCAAUGUCCAUCUCAAAAUACUGCUUUUACAAAAGCAGAAUAAAAGCGAAAUGAAAUGAAAAUGUUACACUACAUAAUCCUGGAAUAAAAGAAGCCGAAAUAAAUGAGAGAUGAGUUGGGAUCAAGUGGAUUGAGGAGGCUGUGCUGUGUGCCAAUGUUUCGUUUGCCUCAGACAGAAACUUUGUCUGCGAACACUCUUUAAUGGACC
rnacentral:lncRNA from 1 species